rnacentral:rRNA from 1 species
AUUGAACGCUGGCGGCACGCCUAACACAUGCAAGUCGAGCGGCAGCGAGACUAGUAGCAAUACUAGUUGUCGGCGAGCGGCGGACGGGUGAGUAACACGUAGGAAUCUGCCCUUAAGCGGGGGAUAACCAAGGGAAACUUUGGCUAAUACCGCAUAAUCUCGAGAGAGCAAAGCUGCCCGCAAGGGUGGCACUUGAGGAGGAGCCUGCGUCCGAUUAGCUAGUUGGUGGGGUAAUGGCCUACCAAGGCGAUGAUCGGUAACUGGUCUGAGAGGACGACCAGUGACACUGGGACUGGGACACGGACCAGACUCCUACGGGAGGCAGCAGUGGGGAAUAUUGGACAAUGGGGGCAACCCUGAUCCAGCGAUGCCGCGUGAGUGAAGAAGGCCGUCGGGUCGUAAAGCUCUUUAGGUUGGGAAGAAGUGUAUUGGCUGAAUAAUCCAGUACAUUGACGGUACCGACAGAAUAAGCACCGGCAAACUCUGUGCCAGCCGCCGCCGUAACAC